AAGUGCGGGGUUUUUUAGGGCCGAUUUUUUUCAAAAUAUGCCUAGAUCUUGUUAAACGUUGUGGAAAAACGAGUUAAGUGUGUAGAAAUAGCGAUUUCGAAAGAAAUUGGAGCAAAGUGCAGUCUGGUCGUCUUCCUCCACGCCCACACCGUGCACCUCUUUCGCGUGGUUAUCGAGAAACGACUGCUCCGCGAAAUUCUCCGAACAGUUGGGACACUUGAUCAACUGGUGGAGCCUCACGUGGACUCCCAACGCGAGUUCCGUAGCGAAACCUCUGCCGCAGGUGACACUUUAGCGUCACUUUCUGCCUGAACCCGGAGUCGCAUAUCGUGCAGAUGAAGGGCGCCUCGUUGGUGUGCUGGCGGACGUGGGUCCUUAAACCGUGACGGCUGGCGAACCCCUUGCCGCAGUAUUCGCACACGUGAGGGCGUCGUUUCUCGUGGAUCGACCUGAUGUGGUUUUGGAGGAACACUGGGACAUAGAUGAGUCAAAUCAAACGACCGUGGGAUCGGUGGCGACUGCGAUGGCGAGCUGUUGACGUUGGAUAUUUUGCAAAUGCUUGACCGCCAUUUCAAGUAUGUCCGCUUUUUCCAGUUUGGAGUGACGGGCGGGCUGAAAAAUGGCGUUUUUUGAGCU